rnacentral:rRNA from 1 species
AACGAACGCUGGCGGCAGGCUUAACACAUGCAAGUCGAACGCAUCGCAAGAUGAGUGGCAGACGGGUGAGUAACGCGUGGGAACAUACCCUUUUCUACGGAAUAGCUCUGGGAAACUGGAAUUAAUACCGUAUACGCCCUACGGGGGAAAGAUUGAUCGGGGAAGGAUUGGCCCGCGUUGGAUUAGCUAGUUGGUGGGGUAAAGGCCUACCAAGGCGACGAUCCAUAGCUGGUCUGAGAGGAUGAUCAGCCACAUUGGGACUGAGACACGGCCCGAACUCCUACGGGAGGCAGCAGUGGGGAAUAUUGGACAAUGGGCGCAAGCCUGAUCCAGCCAUGCCGCGUGAGUGAUGAAGGCCUUAGGGUUGUAAAGCUCUUUCACCGAUGAAGAUAAUGACGGUAGUCGGAGAAGAAGCCCCGGCUAACUUCGUGCCAGCAGCCGCAGUAAAAC